rnacentral:ncRNA from 1 species
GCAGAGUAGUAAACCGAGCGUAAAGUGCCUUUUGGACGGGGAGUUGCCGAAAGGACGAAGGAACUCAUAACUGUAUAUACAGUUAUGCGAUGUUUUGCGGUUCGGUUUUCGCAUCCCACUGC